rnacentral:tRNA from 1 species
UCCCUGGUGGCUCAGAUGGUAAAGCAUCUGCCUGCAAUGCAGGGGACCUAGGUUCGAUUCCUGGGUUGGGAG